AGCGAACGCUGGCGGCAGGCUUAACACAUGCAAGUCGAGCGGGCAUAGCAAUAUGUCAGCGGCAGACGGGUGAGUAACGCGUGGGAACGUACCUUUUGGUUCGGAACAACACAGGGAAACUUGUGCUAAUACCGGAUAAGCCCUUACGGGGAAAGAUUUAUCGCCGGAAGAUCGGCCCGCGUCUGAUUAGCUAGUUGGUGAGGUAAUGGCUCAACAAGGCGACGAUCAGUAGCUGGUCUGAGAGGAUGAUCAGCCACAUUGGGACUGAGAUACGGCCCAGACUCCUACUGUAGGCAGCAGUGGGGAAUAUUGGACACUGGGCGCAAGCCUGCUCCAGCCAUGCCGCGUGAGUGAUGAAGGCGCUAGCGUUGUAAAGCUCUUUUGUGCGGGAAGAUAAUGACGGUACCGCAAGAAUAAGCCCCGGCUAACUUCGUGCCAGCAGCCGCAGUAA
rnacentral:rRNA from 1 species